AGAAGCAGACACCGGGUCUCGGUUACCGUUCCCGACAACUAAGAGUCGAGUGUUAGAAGUUCAGUAAUUGGAAAGACAAAAUCGAUCUUUGGAUAAGAUAUACCCACCGAAUGAUGUCAGUACUACUGAAGAUUUUUAAACUACUGAGUAAACAAGCUUCCACCAGUGAAGGGCUCAGAUAUUCGUGGGAAGCCCAUUUGAUAAGCUUAUCUGAAGCACACAAAAUGAGAGGAACAGUUGCUAGUACCAGAAUGGUUCAUGGUUACAAUGAUUUUUAUGAUUCUUUUCAACAUGGACAGCUGCUGGAUAUGUUCAGGUAUAACAUUAAGCCAAAGAAAUGAAAUUCUACGUUAUCUCUUGGUCUCUGGGUUGGAAGAUGGAUAUGUGGUUCGUUACUAAGCAUAAAAUCAAUGUCAGUUUCACUGCGUCUCCAGCUUGAGUGACGAGUGCAUUGCUGUUGAUCAGUGAUAUUCUCUGAGAAACUAUACACAUCAAUUUUAAUGUAUCGGUUGAGCAAGAUUCUCCUUGAAACUGACUUGGGAAGCUCUGCAUUCAAGAAAUACUUCUUUGGAGGUGAUGG
rnacentral:lncRNA from 1 species